UAGAUACUCCCUCCGUCCGAAAAUACUUGUCAUCAAAAUGAAUAAAAAGAGAUGUAUCUAGAACUAAAAUACAUCUAGAUACAUCCCUUUUUAUCCAUUUUGAUGACAAGUAUUUCCGGACGGAGGGAGUACAUC
rnacentral:pre_miRNA from 1 species